UUCAAGUUUCCAUCAGUGAUUGCAGGCAUUUGGAAACUCAUUAUGCCUUUGUUCCGCUCCUCAGUGACCUGCAUUACUUGCUGAUUUUCUGUUUCUUUCGCUGAUCUAACCUUCUGUGCAAAUGAAUUGAUAUGAGCUGGUUGUUGUGGUUUUCUGUGCUCGAUGUCUUCAUGAAAGUCAAAGAUGGUUUGAUUAGCUUUCUAACGAGCUAUAAUACGUCCUGAUCCGAUAUCAUUAGCCACAUGAAAUUUUCUUUAAAAGUCUACUCCAGAAUCUGGAAAGUUGUUCUGGUCUGUGUGGUUGUUUCUGUUACUGAUCUGACCUCUUUGCUAAAUGUCUUCGUUUGAGCUAGAAAAUGAUUUCAAUUGUGUUCAUGACCUUCUAAGGAUUUAUAGGAGACUUCUCAAGCUUUCUAAUGACAUAUUAUAUGUGCGAUUUGGUCAUCAUUUGCCCUGCCUGAUGCUUCUUGCAAAGAGCACUAAUCUGCUGAUGUGUUCUGCUUGUUAUGAUUUGAUCUGACCAUUUAUACAAAUGGCUUUGCUUGAGCUAGAAAAAGACUUAAAUUGCAAUUGUCACCUAAUAGGAAUUCUUAAAGGACACCUUAAGCUUUCUAACGAUGCCUAGUUUGUCCAAUUUGCCCAUCAUUUGCCCUGCC
rnacentral:lncRNA from 1 species